AAGACUGAUCUUUCGGGGAUCAUGUCCAUAGGUUUGUCUUGAGAAAUGUGUUUUUAAAGUGUCUGGACAUGGUUAAGAUUGAGAACUGCAAUAUUUGUGAAACAAAUUGUGAAUAAUGAGGCACUUAACAUGUUCUCUAUUAUUGAUGACUGUUCUUAGCGUCUUCAGGAGCAUUGAGGGGGGAAUAUGAUCAGA
rnacentral:snoRNA from 1 species